UACGUAGGGGGCUAGCGUUGUCCGGAAUCAUUGGGCGUAAAGCGUGUGUAGGCGGUCCGGUAAGUCCGCUGUGAAAGUCGGGGGCUCAACCCUCGGAUGCCGGUGGAUACUGUCGGGCUUGAGUACGGAAGAGGCGAGUGGAAUUCCUGGUGUAGCGGUGAAAUGCGCAGAUAUCAGGAGGAACACCAAUUGCGAAGGCAGCUCGCUGGGACGUUACUGACGCUGAGACGCGAAAGCGUGGGGAGCAAACAGG
rnacentral:rRNA from 1 species